rnacentral:rRNA from 1 species
UACGUAGGGGCAAGCGUUGUCCGGAUUUACUUGGGCGUAAAGAGCGGUGUAGGCGGCCUGAAAGGUCAGCUGUGAAACUCGAGGCUCAACCUCGAGACGUCGGUUGAAACCAUCUGGCUAGAGUCCGGAAGAGGAGUGUGGAAUUCCCGGUGUAGCGGUGAAAUGCGCAGAUAUCGGGAAGAACACCCGUGGCGAAGGCGGCACUUCUGGGACGGUACUGACG